rfam:Ipomoea nil DNA, scaffold: scaffold0519, cultivar: Tokyo-kokei standard.
GGGGUGGUGGCGCAGUUGGUUAGCGCGCUGGGCUCAUGGCGUUAACGAUUGUUAAACAAUCUCACCGCUCGGUGAGUAAUCCAGAGGUCGAGAGUUCGAUCCUCUCCCACCCCG